AGAGUGCAGAGGCCUCCUCAUUGACAUCCAUGUUCAGGGGUCUGGAUCAGUCUUGUGCUGACCUCCCAGACAGAAGUCUGGGGUCCAUGUGCUCCUCCUUGUUCAGGCCAGCUGUUUCUUAAACCUAAUCUUUACUACCAUAUCCUUCUGAGUUUCUAUUACUUCUUGCCAUGUCAUAAUUUUCAAGCUACCAUUUUUUUUGCUGUGACUACUGAAAAACCUUUCUCACUCAUGAGAAAUGAAGUGCCUUACCACUGUACUAAUACUGUACUAGUCUAGUGAUUUGCUUACCCACUCCUCCCUUCAAUCUUCAUCAGCAACUCAAUAUUGCCACACAGUUGGAUAUGAAGAGUGAAAUAAAAUGUCAAUAUCUGGGGUCCAGGACACACACACACACACACACACACACACACACACACACACACGAGUUCUUUGAGAUGAAUAAAUAUCAAAUAGAUGUCACAGUUCAAGUUAACCCAAAGACAGAUUUGUGUGUGGAACUGGCACUUCAACUAUGAUAUAACCAUUAGAUACAAAAGCAUACGUGCAUAUAUACAUUUUUUUUCACUUUCUAAUGGUGGAAGAUAGAGAAAAGAACACUUUCUCUGGCUUUUAUAGAAUACUUAUAUGUGUGCUCAAGGUACAUAGAGGAAGAAAAUAAAUAAUUUAUAUAGUGUUCCUUUGACUUGUAAUAAUGUUUCUCUUUAUUUUUUUUUCACUUAGAGAACCAGAAAACAAAUUUAAUCUAACAGAAACAGAAACAUAAAAUUUUUCUUUCAAAUCACAUUAAUGCCUUGCCAUCAUCAUGGCCAUCAGUUACAUCCAGCCUCAAGUCUUUCUCCAAACAGCAAAGCUAAUAUCACGGAAGGGUUAAUAAUAUUAACAUCCAGCUCAGAAAUCUACACAAAGAAAACCUUUUCCAUAAUCACUCAAAACCAUUAAAAAUAUUCAUCUGUGACAGCACAAUGUGAGGCAGGACUCACACAAAUGUUUCCAUAUUUAACAUGGAUGUCUUGCUUGUGAUUAUUUGGUCUGACAAUAGCAUGCAAUUUCAGGAAAUAUUUAACAUAAUCAGCUUUUGUCCACACAAAACUCCUCAGGGUUAUAGAUACAUUUGUGUGGUGUGAUUCAACUCACUGCAUCAUUUUGGAAAUUUUCCAAGUUUUGCUUGUAGAAUUAUUUGUGGUCAAUCCAGUCAAUUUUAAAACCUCUUUCCUGCUUGAAUAAAGGCAAGGAAGAAAGCAUAAGCUUCUCCUGCUACCCUUUCUUAAAACUAAUAUAGGUAAGAAGAAAGUAGAGAAAAGGCAAUGAGACAACAAACCACCUUUUAAAAAAAUAGGAACAUACACAUAUGCACAAAACAACGACAAUUAAAGAAAAAGAGGCCAUGAAUUUGAAAGAGCAGGGCAGUACAUAAUAGGAGGACUUGUCGGGAAGAAAAACUAGGGAAAAGCAUGCCAUUAUAAUCUCAAACUACUUUUAAAAAUCUGAAUAAAAAUCAAGUUAAAGCCACUAAUCACUAAGCUAAUUUAAUGAGGCUGAAAGAGGAGUGUAUUUAUGAAUUCUUCAAGACCAGAGCACAAGUUGUAAGUAAAGCACAUUAAAGAAUUUUCUUUAAUGACAUGCAGGAAGCUAACAAAGGUAUGCUGAGCCAAUUUAAUAACCUUAAAAGACAUCAAACCACACUCUGAGACUGCUUGUGAUUUCAUUCACAACUUGCAACUCAACAGAUACUAAUAAAAGAUAUAAUUUGAGUUGGUCUUUUACAAAAAUGGAAAGGGUAAUAAAGUGUUAAUGUAUAGCCAUAUUAUAUUUACUAGUUAUAUUUGGUUGACAGUUUGGGGAAUGAUAAAAAUCCAGGAAGAACAGAUUUCAGUUUGGAUUGUACCCUUAUUGACACUUGACAUUUCUACUUCAAGUUUUAAAAAUGUACUGUAUAGUCAAUUCCUGAGUACUGGUGUGAAAGAAAAUAAGUCAUCUUUCUCUACUAGAGUAUUGACCAAAAUAGAAUGUGUAACUGAUAGCUUUUCAGAUUUGAUUAAAUAUUGCGGUGGGGGGGGGGAUUUAUUUAUUUAUUUGUUUGUUUGCUUGUUUACUUAUUUUGGGUGAUGUGGCCACUGGUGGGUUCCUCAUACUCCAAUGACUGGUGGGUUCCCUAUACUCCAGGGACUGAUGAGUUCACUUUACUCCAGUGACUGGUAAGUUCCCAGGCUCCAGUGAUUGGUGGGCUCCCUAUACUCCAAUGACUGGUAGAUUCCCUAUGCUCCAGUGACUGGUGUGUUGGAUCCAGAGUCUCCUGUUUGGCAUUUUCUGGCCAUGGACUGAUGAGAUCUCCUGUUCUUUUCUGCUGUAUGGACCAAGUGAGGACCUUCAUUUUACUCCACUCCAGCAUCCUGCUUUCAGGUACUUCUAAGUGCUAGAGGCAAGUGUCAGUGGGCUCAAGAGCAGGAAAUGAGAACCUGACAAUCAGGCCCUAUUGUUGAAGAUGCCAUACACUUGAGUUACAGGACUUACAGAAAUCAAGCUGGUACUGAACUGGAAGAUUCAUCCCUACUGGCUAGCUUUCAUGGAAAGUGCAUGCACUCUACCAGAGGAGAAAUGUCAUCAUGAGUCUUACCCUGCUGUUAACAACCCAGUGAGCUACAAGGAGUGGCUGGCCAAAACAUGCUCAAUAGUGAUACAACAGUGGCACCAAUGUGGAAUUAACCAACCACUUCCUAAUUGGAUGUAUGGAUCCUUCCACAAGAUAAAUCUCAUCCCUGGCAUCAGGUCAAGAAUCUACGGCCAGAUAGAUCACAGAACCUGGGAGAGAACCUACUACUGUAUUCUGCUAAAUGGACACAGUAUGAAGUAAACUCUUCAUGAAGGCCCCACUCAGUCCUUAUCAGAGAACUUUCUGAUUCCUGUAGAUGAUCAACACAGGAAACCACAACUAGCCAAUGUGCAGAGAAUAAGAGAAUACAGAAGGUUCAGCCCUAAAUGGAACAGAUAUACUAUAUAUACCCCUCCUCUAAAGGCUCAGGGAUCAUUGCAGAAGAGGGGGUGGAAAGAGUGUAAGAGCCACAAGUGGUGAAUGACUACAAGGAAGCAGUGUCUUCUAGACACAGCAGGGAAGUUGCACAUAUGAACUCACAGCAUGUGUGACAGCAUGCACAAGAUCUGUGCAAGCCCAAUCCAGACCAAAUCCCAGCAUGGAGAGGGGAGAUGGGCACAAAGUUCUACCCCUAGCCAAGGAGCUACUGGCAAUUGUUAGCAGCUGAGAGAGGAAGUCUCAGGAACUGCCGUCUAAAUGUUAACAACGAAAGACUGAUGACAUUCUUUGAAAACAGAAUAGAAAAGCUUACUUUGAAAAGCUGGCAAUAGAUCUCCACUAACCUAACAGCACAAAUCAGGUUCACCUGUGUCUUCAGAGAGUUAAGACUUAACAUUCACUUGUUAAGAACAUUUACUAACGUAGCACUUAAACUGACAUAAUCAGUACCUCUGCCAAACCUUAAUAAUUUAAUGAAAGUUUUAGUAGGCCUUGCUUUAGCUUUCAUGCUCCAUGCUGUCAUCCAGUCUAACACUAUAUAUGAUGCGUUCACCCUUUAUUUAAUGAGAACUAUAGAAGAUACAUAGCAAACUGCUCAGAGUAAGUGCUCUAGACUUUGAUAAUAGUGGUGAUGGGUUAGAACUAGGAAAAAGGACAUUGCCAACUCACACAUGAUGGACCACAGCUCAAGAAAAGCUGCUAAGAAAAGAGAAAUUAUUUUUAAGUGUAAGAAAUAGGAAGGAGAUUAUACAUAGGCAAAAAGAAAUAAGAAAACAUGAAGUGCUCUAAGAGAACAGCACAAAGAAGUUUGACUUCAGGCUGGGCGUUGGUGGCGCGGCCUUUAAUCCCAGCACUCAGGAAGCUGAGACAGGUGGAUCUCUGUGAGUUUGAGGCCAGCCUGGUCUCCAGAGCGAGUGCCAGGAUAGGCUCCAAAGCUACACAGAGAAACCCUGUCUCAAAAAACCAAAAAAAAAAACAAAAAACUUUGACUUCAUUAUACAUGUGUAGAUCCUCUUAGCACAAUA